rnacentral:tRNA from 1 species
GCGUGAGCAAAUGGUACUGUCCGCCGUGCUGUCCUCGAGGCUAUGAAGCACCUGAUUUGCAGGCAGGUUCGAAUCCUGCCGGGCGCA